rnacentral:rRNA from 1 species
UGCCGGCGACCGGCGAAUGGGUGAGUAACACGUAUCCAACCUGGCCCGCACUCGGGGACAGCCUUUCGAAAGAAAGAUUAAUACCCGAUGCGGCCGCACCUUCACAUGGAGGCGCGGUCAAAGAUUCAUCGGUGCGGGAUGGGGAUGCGCCUGAUUAGGCAGUUGGCGGGGUAACGGCCCACCAAACCGACGAUCAGUAGGGGUUCUGAGAGGAAGGUCCCCCACAUUGGAACUGAGACACGGUCCAAACUCCUACGGGAGGCAGCAGUGAGGAAUAUUGGUCAAUGGGCGGAAGCCUGAACCAGCCAAGUAGCGUGCAGGACGACGGCCCUCUGGGUUGUAAACUGCUUUUGUGCGGGGGUAAAGUGACCCACGUGUGGGUUAUUGCAAGUACCGCACGAAUAAGCAUCGGCUAACUCCGUGCCAGCAGCCGCGGUAAUACGGAGGAUGCGAGCGUUAUCCGGAUUUAUUGGGUUUAAAGGGAGCGUAGGUGGCCGGUUAAGUCAGUUGUGAAAAGCAGGUGCUCAACAUCUGCCUUGCAGUUGAAACUGUCCGGCUUGAGCGUGUGAGAGGCAGGCGGAAUUCGUGGUGUAGCGGUGAAAUGCUUAGAUAUCACGAAGAACUCCGAUUGCGAAGGCAGCUUGCUGGCCCACGUCUGACACUAAUGCUCGAAAGUGCGGGUAUCGAACAGGAUUAGAUACCCUGGUAGUCCGCACAGUAAACGAUGAAUACUCGCUGUUUGCGAUAGAAUGUAAGCGGCCAAGCGAAAGCGUUAAGUAUUCCACCUGGGGAGUACGCCGGCAACGGUGAAACUCAAAGGAAUUGACGGGGGCCCGCACAAGCGGAGGAACAUGUGGUUUAAUUCGAUGAUACGCGAGGAACCUUACCCGGGCUUGAAUUGCAUACGACGUGCGCGGAGACGCGCA